rnacentral:ncRNA from 2 species
GUCUUAUCCAGAGCAGCGGAGGGAACGGCCCUGUGAAGCUGCGGCAACCUGCGGAGGCCUUCUAAAGCGCCUACUAAGGUGCCAAUUCCGACCCGGUGGCCAUCCGGGAAAGAUAAGGA